rnacentral:rRNA from 1 species
GAUGAACGCUGGCGGCGUGCCUAAUACAUGCAAGUCGAGCGAACGGACGAGAAGCUUGCUUCUCUGAUGUUAGCGGCGGACGGGUGAGUAACACGUGGAUAACCUACCUAUAAGACUGGGAUAACUUCGGGAAACCGUAGCUAAUACCGGAUAAUAUUUUGAACCGCAUGGUUCAAAAGUGAAAGACGGUCUUGCUGUCACUUAUACAUGGAUCCGCGCUGCAUUAGCUAGUUGGUAAGGUAACGGCUUACCAAGGCAACGAUGCAUAGCCGACCUGAGAGGGUGAUCGGCCACACUGGAACUGCGACACGGUCCAGACUCCUACGGGAGGCAGCAGUAGGGAAUCUUCCGCAAUGGGCGAAAGCCUGACGGAGCAACGCCGCGUGAGUGAUGAAGGUCUUCGGAUCGUAAAACUCUGUUAUUAGGGAAGAACAUAUGUGUAAGUAACUGUGCACAUCUUGACGGUACCUAAUCAGAAAGCCACGGCUAACUACGUG